rnacentral:rRNA from 1 species
CAGCCGUAAACUAUGCGCGUUAGGUGUACUGGUGACCACGAGUCACCGGGUGCCGAAGGGAAACCGUGAAACAUGCCGCCUGGGAAGUACGGUCGCAAGGCUGAAACUUAAAGGAAUUGGCGGGGGGAGCACCACAACGGGUGGAGCCUGCGGUUUAAUUGGACUCAACGCCGGAAAUCUCACCGGAUAGGACAGACAUAUGAUAGUCGGGCUGAAGACUCUACUUGAUGAUCUGAGAGGAGGUGCAUGGCGUCAGUGACU